rnacentral:rRNA from 1 species
UACAGAGGUCCCAAGCGUUGUUCGGAUUCACUGGGCGUAAAGGGUGCGUAGGUGGUGGGGCAAGUUCGAUGUGAAAUCUCCGGGCUUAACUCGGAAACUGCAUUGAAGACUGCCUUGCUUGAGGGUCGGAGGGGAGACUGGAAUUCUCGGUGUAGCAGUGAAAUGCGUAGAUAUCGAGAGGAACACCAGUGGCGAAGGCGAGUCUCUGGACGACUCCUGACACUGAUGCACGAAAGCUAGGGGAGCAAACAGGAUUAGAUACCCUGGUAGUCCUAGCUAUAAACGGUGCACGUUUGCUGUGAGAGGAUUCGACCCCUUUCGUGGCGUAGCAAACGCGAUAAACGUGCCGCCUGGGAAGUACGGCCGCAAGGUUA